rnacentral:rRNA from 1 species
UACGUAGGGGGCUAGCGUUGUCCGGAAUCAUUGGGCGUAAAGCGCGUGUAGGCGGCCCGGUAAGUCCGCUGUGAAAGUCGGGGGCUCAACCCUCGAAUGCCGGUGGAUACUGUCGGGCUAGAGUACGGAAGAGGCGAGUGGAAUUCCUGGUGUAGCGGUGAAAUGCGCAGAUAUCAGGAGGAACACCAAUGGCGAAGGCAGCACUCUGGGACGUGACUGACGCUGAGACGCGAAAGCGUGGGGAGCAAACAGG